AUGCUUAUAGCUUAAUAGGAUAAAGCCGUAGAUUGCGGAUCUAUUAGAUGAAAGUUCAAAUCUUUCUAAGCAUA
rfam:Saprolegnia parasitica CBS 223.65 mitochondrial scaffold supercont2.1443, whole genome shotgun sequence.